AGUAAUUGUUAUCGUUUGUGCAGAAUAUUUUGGAGGGAAUUGUAUUACUGUACAAGUUUAUGGCUCAGUUAAAUUCCAGAUUUAUCCCUGUCUGUUCUAUGAGAUUUGAUGUGUGUGUGUGUCUGUAUGUAUUAUUAUGUCUGUGCGUUAUCAUGUUCUUCUUGUGUGUAUUUACAGGUCUGCCAAUUUGGGUCAGAACCCACUUAUGAAUCUGAUCUGGUGUGUUCAGGUGUCCUGAGACAGGGGGCGCUGUUUCUAAAAUGAGUUCCUCAGAGGAGACCGAGACUGACGAUGGAACCCACGGCCUUGCGAGAAAGAGGGUUUGGGUAGAGAGGGCUGGGUCACCUGUACCCAACUGUCUGUCUAUGAAGAGUGACCGUUCAAUGAAUCGUCUAAUCAACUUUAGAGGAAUGGUCACAGGUGAUCAGAGGGUUUGGGUAGAGAGAGCUGGGUCACCUGUACCCAGCUGUCUGUCUAUGAAGAGUGACCGUUCAAUGAAUCGUCUAAUCAACUUAAGAGGAGAGGUCACAGGUGAUCAAAGGGUUUGGGUAGAGAGGGCUGGGUCACCUGUACCCAGCUGUCUGUCUAUGAAGAGUGACCGUUCAAUGAAUCGUCUAAUCAACUUAAGAGGAGAGGUCACAGGUGAUCAAAGGGUUCGGGUAGAGAGGGCUGGGUCACCUGUACCCAGCUGUCUGUCUAUGAUGAGUGACCGUUCAAGGAAUCCUCUAAUCAACUUAAGAGGAAAGAUCACAGGUGAUCAAAGGGUUUGGGUAGAGAGGGCUGGGUCACCUGUACCCAGCUGUCUGUCUAUGAAGAGUGACCGUUCAAUGAAUCGUCUAAUCAACUUAAGAGGAGAGGUCACAGGUGAUCAAAGGAUUCAUUGCUCAGAUAAACUGUUCUCCUCAAAACAGUCUCUCCUGCGCACUCUGAUGAAGCUGAAGAAGACUGAAAAGUUGAAACUGUUUCAGAGCCAUCUGAGUCAGGGUUGCCCAGAAUGCUUUUAUAGUAGAAGAACAGAAGAUCCUUCUGUACUGGAUCCCUUUAUGAAGAUGAAGGAAUUGUUCAAGAGUCAUCAAAUUGCUGAUUACCCAGAAUGCACUGAGAGAGAGCAGGAGGAUCCUGAAGCCCUGUACAUAGUUGAGAAGAUGCUGGAGACUUGUGGCAUUGAGGGGUCUCCGAA